AGAGUUUGAUCCUGGCUCAGAUUGAACGCUGGCGGCAGGCCUAACACAUGCAAGUCGAGCGGUAGCACAGAGAGCUUGCUCUCGGGUGACGAGCGGCGGACGGGUGAGUAAUGUCUGGGAAACUGCCUGAUGGAGGGGGAUAACUACUGGAAACGGUAGCUAAUACCGCAUAACGUCGCAAGACCAAAGUGGGGGACCUUCGGGCCUCAUGCCAUCAGAUGUGCCCAGAUGGGAUUAGCUAGUAGGUGGGGUAACGGCUCACCUAGGCGACGAUCCCUAGCUGGUCUGAGAGGAUGACCAGCCACACUGGAACUGAGACACGGUCCAGACUCCUACGGGAGGCAGCAGUGGGGAAUAUUGCACAAUGGGCGCAAGCCUGAUGCAGCCAUGCCGCGUGUGUGAAGAAGGCCUUCGGGUUGUAAAGCACUUUCAGCGGGGAGGAAGGCGGUGAGGUUAAUAACCUCACCGAUUGACGUUACCCGCAGAAGAAGCAACCGGCUAACUCCGUGCCAGCAGCCGCGGUAAUACGGAGGGUGCAAGCGUUAAUCGGAAUUACUGGGCGUAAAGCGCACGCAGGCGGUCUGUCAAGUCGGAUGUGAAAUCCCCGGGCUCAACCUGGGAACUGCAUUCGAAACUGGCAGGCUAGAGUCUUGUAGAGGGGGGUAGAAUUUCCAGGUGUAGCGGUGAAAUGCGUAGAGAUCUGGAGGAAUACCGGUGGCGAAGGCGGCCCCCUGGACAAAGACUGACGCUCAGGUGCGAAAGCGUGGGGAGCAAACAGGAUUAGAUACCCUGGUAGUCCACGCUGUAAACGAUGUCGAUUUGGAGGUUGUGCCCUUGAGGCGUGGCUUCCGGAGCUAACGCGUUAAAUCGACCGCCUGGGGAGUACGGCCGCAAGGUUAAAACUCAAAUGAAUUGACGGGGGCCCGCACAAGCGGUGGAGCAUGUGGUUUAAUUCGAUGCAACGCGAAGAACCUUACCUGGUCUUGACAUCCACAGAACUUUCCAGAGAUGGAUUGGUGCCUUCGGGAACUGUGAGACAGGUGCUGCAUGGCUGUCGUCAGCUCGUGUUGUGAAAUGUUGGGUUAAGUCCCGCAACGAGCGCAACCCUUAUCCUUUGUUGCCAGCGGUCCGGCCGGGAACUCAAAGGAGACUGCCAGUGAUAAACUGGAGGAAGGUGGGGAUGACGUCAAGUCAUCAUGGCCCUUACGACCAGGGCUACACACGUGCUACAAUGGCAUAUACAAAGAGAAGCGACCUCGCGAGAGCAAGCGGACCUCAUAAAGUAUGUCGUAGUCCGGAUUGGAGUCUGCAACUCGACUCCAUGAAGUCGGAAUCGCUAGUAAUCGUAGAUCAGAAUGCUACGGUGAAUACGUUCCCGGGCCUUGUACGCACCGCCCGUCACACCAUGGGAGUGGGUUGCAAAAGAAGUAGGUAGCUUAACCUUCGGGAGGGCGCUUACCACUUUGUGAUUCAUGACUGGGGUGAAGUCGUAACAAGGUA
rnacentral:rRNA from 1 species